rnacentral:sRNA from 1 species
CAUCUAACAUAUGUGCGUGUGUGUGUGUAAAUAUAUAAUAAAGCCUUGUAGAGGUUUUUGGGGGGCUUUAGGGGAAUCAAUAAAAUAACUCCUGAAUGAAAAUAACAGAACAAUUCCAAGAAUCCCACUGCGUACCUGCCCCAUGACUUGACUCUCUCAAAAGUCCUUUCUCCCCUCUCCCUACAGCAAGCCUUCAAUGCCACGGCUGUGGUGCGGCACAUGAGGAAACUACAGCUGGGCACCAGCCAGGAGGGGCAGGGGCAGACGGCGAGCCAUGGGGAGCUGCUGACACCAGUGGCUGGGGGGCCGGCAGCUGGCUGUUGCUGUCGAGACUGCUGCGUGGAGCCGGGUGCAGAACUGUCCCCCACACUGCCCCACCAGCUCUAGGGCCCUAGACCUCGGGUCAGGAUCUUCUGCGUGGGAGGGCUUGGGGGCAGCCUGCUCCCCUUCCCUCCCUGAACCGAGAGUUUCUCUGCCCUGUCCCCUCCUCACCUUCUUCCCUACCACUCCUCACUGCAUUUUCCAUACAAAUGUUUCUAUUUUAUUGUUCCUUCUUGUAAUAAAGGGAAGAU